rnacentral:rRNA from 1 species
AAAUUGAAGAGUUUGAUCAUGGCUCAGAUUGAACGCUGGCGGCAGGCCUAACACAUGCAAGUCGAACGGUAACAGGAAUCAGCUUGCUGAUUCGCUGACGAGUGGCGGACGGGUGAGUAAUGUCUGGGAAACUGCCCGAUGGAGGGGGAUAACUACUGGAAACGGUAGCUAAUACCGCAUAACGUCGCAAGACCAAAGAGGGGGACCUUCGGGCCUCUUGCCAUCGGAUGUGCCCAGAUGGGAUUAGCUAGUAGGUGGGGUAAAGGCUCACCUAGGCGACGAUCCCUAGCUGGUCUGAGAGGAUGACCAGCCACACUGGAACUGAGACACGGUCCAGACUCCUACGGGAGGCAGCAGUGGGGAAUAUUGCACAAUGGGCGCAAGCCUGAUGCAGCCAUGCCGCGUGUAUGAAGAAGGCCUUCGGGUUGUAAAGUACUUUCAGCGGGGAGGAAGGGAGUAAAGUUAAUACCUUUGCUCAUUGACGUUACCCGCAGAAGAAGCACCGGCUAACUCCGUGCCAGCAGCCGCGGUAAUACGGAGGGUGCAAGCGUUAAUCGGAAUUACUGGGCGUAAAGCGCACGCAGGCGGUUUGUUAAGUCAGAUGUGAAAUCCCCGGGCUCAACCUGGGAACUGCAUCUGAUACUGGCAAGCUUGAGUCUCGUAGAGGGGGGUAGAAUUCCAGGUGUAGCGGUGAAAUGCGUAGAGAUCUGGAGGAAUACCGGUGGCGAAGGCGGCCCCCUGGACGAAGACUGACGCUCAGGUGCGAAAGCGUGGGGAGCAAACAGGAUUAGAUACCCUGGUAGUCCACGCCGUAAACGAUGUCGACUUGGAGGUUGUGCCCUUGAGGCGUGGCUUCCGGAGCUAACGCGUUAAGUCGACCGCCUGGGGAGUACGGCCGCAAGGUUAAAACUCAAAUGAAUUGACGGGGGCCCGCACAAGCGGUGGAGCAUGUGGUUUAAUUCGAUGCAACGCGAAGAACCUUACCUGGUCUUGACAUCCACGGAAGUUUUCAGAGAUGAGAAUGUGCCUUCGGGAACCGUGAGACAGGUGCUGCAUGGCUGUCGUCAGCUCGUGUUGUGAAAUGUUGGGUUAAGUCCCGCAACGAGCGCAACCCUUAUCCUUUGUUGCCAGCGGUCCGGCCGGGAACUCAAAGGAGACUGCCAGUGAUAAACUGGAGGAAGGUGGGGAUGACGUCAAGUCAUCAUGGCCCUUACGACCAGGGCUACACACGUGCUACAAUGGCGCAUACAAAGAGAAGCGACCUCGCGAGAGCAAGCGGACCUCAUAAAGUGCGUCGUAGUCCGGAUUGGAGUCUGCAACUCGACUCCAUGAAGUCGGAAUCGCUAGUAAUCGUGGAUCAGAAUGCCACGGUGAAUACGUUCCCGGGCCUUGUACACACCGCCCGUCACACCAUGGGAGUGGGUUGCAAAAGAAGUAGGUAGCUUAACCUUCGGGAGGGCGCUUACCACUUUGUGAUUCAUGACUGGGGUGAAGUCGUAACAAGGUAACCGUAGGGGAACCUGCGGUUGGAUCACCUCCUUA